rnacentral:rRNA from 1 species
AACGAACGCUGGCGGCAGGCCUAACACAUGCAAGUCGAACGCCGUAGCAAUACGGAGUGGCAGACGGGUGAGUAACGCGUGGGAACAUACCCUCCGGUUCGGAAUAACUCAGGGAAACUUGAGCUAAUACCGGAUACGUCCAAGGUUUUAAUCGGCCUUGGAGAAAGAUUUAUCGCUGGAGGAUUGGCCCGCGUCUGAUUAGCUUGUUGGUGAGGUAAUGGCUCACCAAGGCGACGANCAGUAGCUGGUCUGAGAGGAUGAUCAGCCACAUUGGGACUGAGACACGGCCCAAACUCCUACGGGAGGCAGCAGGUGGGGAAUAUUGGACAAUGGGCGAAAGCCUGAUCCAGCCAUGCCGCGUGAGUGAUGAAGGCCUUAGGGUU